UACAGAGGGUGCAAGCGUUGUUCGGAAUUAUUGGGCGUAAAGCGCGUGUAGGCGGCUUUGCAAGUCGGGUGUGAAAGCCCUCAGCUCAACUGAGGAAGUGCGCCCCGAAACUGCAGAGCUUGAGUGCCGGAGAGGGUGGCGGAAUUCCCCCAAGUAGAGGUGAAAUUCGUAGAUAUGGGGAGGAACACCGAUGGCGAAGGCGGCCACCUGGACGGUAACUGACGCUGAGACGCGAAAAGCGUGGGGGAGCAAACAGG
rnacentral:rRNA from 1 species